rnacentral:lncRNA from 1 species
UCCGACCAAUCACAAUCGGCUCUAUAAAACAACAUAAAAAAAUUAAAAGAUAAAAAUAAAGUAGCACUAAAUAAUUUGAACCAUUAAAAUAAAGUAGCACUAAAUAAUAUAUAAAUAAAUAAAUAUCUAUGCACCCACGGGUUAUUCAAGUUCUAGGGUUAGUUGAUUCAAACACAAAAAGAAAAAGAGAAGAAAAAAAAGAAGAAUAAAAAAACACCACGUUUUUCUUUCUAUUUCCUUUCCCUAUUACAUUCACUCACAUGAUAUAUAUAUAUAUAUAUACCCAUCACCCUUCCUCUUCAAUUCAUCCCUUUGUGUCUCAAUAUUCAUCUCUCUCUCUCCAAAAAAAUCUCUCUAGCUCUCUCUUUCUGUUCUUCAAAUAAAAAUCCAACCAAACUAAAUUAAAACAUCAAUAUACAAAAUGGAAAACAACGUACCAAUAAUAACCAAGAGAGUAUGGAGUAUGAUACGUGUGGCUUUGUUCAUGUUAAGAAAAGGCAUAUCAAAGGGAAAACUAAUGAUGGACCUCAACAUGAUGGUUAAACACCGCGGCAAGCUCGCCGGAAAAGCCAUCACCAACCUCAUGUUUCAUCACCACCACGGUGGCUCCACCUCAAGCCGUCGUAACGACACACGCCUCUCUACCACAAGGGAGUAUGAGUUCAGCUGUAGCAACACCCCUAAAUACAAAUUUUCAUUUAACAACAAACGCCACCGCAACAACCACUUCUUCACGUGUGCUCACGCGCCUCUCACACAAGACGAUGACAUUGUUACCGUUAAUGCGGUUAAGGCUGUGUUAGAGAAAAUGGUAAACAAUAAUGAGGUGAUAGGUGAGGCUUCCCCGGUGCUCCCCGGUUCUCGACGAACUCCUAUGACCAGGCAGUUGAUGGUUAAUGACCUUGACACCGAUACGGAUGCCGAGGUAGACAAGGCUGCCGAAGCAUUUAUAAAGAGGUUUUACUUGCAGUUGAAGUAAGAGGAUGGAGUUUUGUUUCACAAUUUUGUUUCUUAACAUUUAAUUAAUGUUACUUUGUGAUUUGUGAUUUAUGAUUUAUGAACAUACAAAGCUGGUAUGCAGUUUUGGAUAGUACUAGCUUCAUGCAUGUCUUUGUGGAACCUUAGGAGAAGAUCAUGGACAUGCAUGAUAAUUUUGUUACUUUAUUUUUUUAUAUAUGUUGAGAGUUUAUUGGCAAAAUUAAUAUCCUCUGUGAAUUUGUCAAAAGAAAUAUGAAAGUUCCAUUUUUAGAGAGAUAUAUAAUCGCAAAAAAUCAAGAUGAAUAAAAUUAAGGUAUCUUGUGUUAAACAUAGUUUGGGUCGGGGACAUAUGUCCUCAAAAUGCUCCAUAGCCCAAACUUGAAAGAAGAAAAAGGUUAAGAACACAUCCAGGGCUGGUCCUAGGAUUUUUCGUGUCCUGGACGAAACAAUAAAUUGUACCCUUUUAAUUAUUUUAAUAUUUUUUUUCUUGCAUUUUUUGUUGAAAAAUAUUCGUUUAUAUAUAAUCAAAGUUAUAUAAAAAUAUAUUUUCAAUAGAAUUAACCAAAGCGAAUUAAAAAAAAAUAAUAUAUCUAUAUAAUACUAACUACUAAAUAAAAAUAAUAAUUUUGGUGCCUCUAAAAAAGUGGUGCCCAGGGCUACCGCCCCUCGUGCCCGCCCUCAGGGCCACCCCUGAACACAUCCAAAAUAUCUUAAAUGUCAUGCAAGCGGUAUAUCUUUAAUGUUAGUAACACAUCAGUCAAAAUAUCUUAAAUAUCAUACAAUAUGAUGAUAUUCUCACCAAUGGAAAAAAUGAAAGCUACUCGUGUCCCUAUGCCACCACUUUGUCAAUGUCGUGCAUGCAUGUGUUCUUAUUAACUUGACCAUAGUUGGUAUCAACAAGGUUUGGUGUUGGCUAGCAGCGGCGUGGUGGCUGGUAUUGGCAUAGUUGGUAGCCUUUUGGAGCUUUUUUGGUUUUUAGGAUCUUAUUGUGUUUCUUUAGUGCUUUUGGGAGUUUACUACUAAAACAAUGCUAGUUUUCUUGUCUUAGCCCAAUUCGAUAACAUUUUGUAUUCGCAUUUGUGUAUUAUCUUAAAAUUUUCCCUUUGAAAAAAAACAUAAAAUUAGUAUUAUAUAUGUAAAGAAAACAUAAAUAUGAUUAUAUUUUUAUAUACUACUCUGACCCAUAUCUUGACUGCAAUGUGCUUACAAAAAUUUGGCAUGAGUGACAUAUGAGAAGGAUCAACACCAAUUCUAUUAUUAGCGUCCUCUGGUGGCGGUUGUGGUGGGUUAUGUGGUGGAGAGCCUUCAGCCGAGUCUGUAACUUUUGUAUGUCCCUACGCAUGAAAUUGUGCAAUAUCUCCCUUCAUGUCUACCAACAUCGUCCACCAUAUCUAGAGCUACCAACAAAAAGAGACAAAUUAAUCAUUAAAGUAUUUCAUCAAACAUAUAGAGCUAAAAAAACAACAUUUACAUUUCUAAUUAGCAUUUGAAUACCACAUUUCGCUAGUUCAAACCCUAAAAUACAUUCACAUUCACAUCCUAACUACUUGAUCAACAACAACAAAGUUCUGAACUACAUUCACAUUCAAAUUCUAAAAUAAACCCUAUCUCGCAACAAACACAAAAUGAGAGAAAAUAAACAUUUGUUGGGUUUAAGAAGAAAUGUCAAAAUAAAUACAAUUUCUUCGACCCUAGGUUGAUGAAAAUCAAUUGUUGAACUAUAAGAAUGUUUGGAUAUAAAGAAUUCAAAGUAAACGCAUAUAAGAACAAGUCUUUUAUUCUUGUAUAAGGCUGAUGUAGAUUGGAACGUAACCCUUUGUCGUUAUAUAAAGGAGAAUUUUGGGAUAACGUGUAAGCAAUUCAAAGGUUACAUGGAGAACCUUUCAAAGUUUGUAAUCUUAUUAUGAUUUUUUUUGUUUGUUUUGCGGUUUAUGUUUUUUAUUCUUAGAAAAUAGGUCUUUCAUCUCUUAAAAAUUCAUUUUAUUUUAAUUACAUUUUUAUUAUAUAUCAGAAUGUUAGAAUAUUAGCGAGUAUGUAGCAAUAACAAUCUUUAAAAAAUUUAUAGAAUUAAAAAAAUCAUGAAAAAUUUAGUUAAAAAUCAUACUAAAAGAAUCUAAGAAAAUGCACCUAAGUUUAUAAAAGGGUUAAUGGUACUUUAUCCCCCUGUAAUAUAGGUUAUUUUUGGUUUUCCCCCCUGUAAAAUAUUUUUUUUUAUUUACCCCUUGUAAAUUUUUUUUUUGAAUACCCCCUAAUAGGUCAUAAAAAAACGACUUUAUUUUUUUUUUUGCAGAAUUUUUUCGUUUUUUUAUGACCUAUUAGGGGGUAUUCCAAAAAAAAAAAAAAUUACAGGUGAGUAAAUCAAAAAAAAUAUUUUACAGGAGGGAAAACUAAAAAUGACCUAUAUUACAAGGGGUUAAAGCACCAUUAAUCCUUUAUAAAAUGUACACAAUAUCACGUUAGAUUCAACUUCAAAGUCUUACCUCUUAACUCUUAAGGCAACACCCCUCACCAAUCAUACUCAGUUAAACUAAAUAAAAUAAAAUAAAAAAAAAAGCUAAAACUAAAGUAGCACUAAAUGAUAAAUAUCUAUGUACCCACACCACGGGUUAUUCAAAAGUUCUAGGGUAGGUUGAUUCAAUCACACAAAAAAAAAAACACGUUUUUCUUUCUCCUCUUUUUCCCCAUUACAUUCACAUAUAUAUACACCCAUUUCCCUUCCUCUUCAAUUCAUCCCUUUCUUUGUGUUUCAAUAUCUCUCUCCAAAAAAUAAAAUCUCUCUAGCUAUACCUCUUUCUUUCCUUCAAAUUAAAUUAAAACAUCAAUAUACAAAAUGGAAAACAACGUACCAAUAAUAACCAAGAGAGUAUGGAGUAUGAUACGUGUGGCUUUGUUCAUGUUAAGAAAAGGUAUAUCAAAGGGAAAACUAAUGAUGGACCUCAACAUGAUGGUCAAACGCCGUAGAAGCUUGCCGGAAAAGCCAUCACCAACCUCAUGUUUCAUCACCACCAUGGUGGCUCCACCUCAAGCCGCCGUAAUGACACACGCCUCUCUACCACAAGGGAGUAUGAGUUCAGCUGCAGCAACACACCCAACUACAAAUUUGCCCUAAACAACAAGCGUCAUAACUUCUUCACGUGUGCUCACGCGCCUCUCACAAAAGAAGACGACAUUGUAACCGUUAAUGCGGUUAAAGCUGUGUUGGAGAGCAUGGUAAACAAUAAUGAAGUAAUUGUCGA